rnacentral:rRNA from 2 species
AGCAUAGCGAUUUGGGAUAAGUCUCUUGGAAGAGAGCAGCAUCGAGGGUGAUACUCCCGUUUGUAUCUAAGUAGCUUGUGCGUACGAUACGUUUUCUUUGAGUCGCGUUGUUUGGGAAUGCAGCGCAAAGCAGGUGGUAAAUUCCAUCUAAAGCUAAAUAUUGGUGCGAGACCGAUAGCGAACAAGUACCGUGAGGGAAAGAUGAAAAGAACUUUGAAAAGAGAGUUAAAGAGUACCUGAAACUGCUGAAAGGGAAUCGAAUCGUUUCUAGUGUCUAUAAUCUAUAGCAUAUUUCAUUAAUGUGUAGGAGCCUUCAGUGCGUAGUGAGCAGCUUCUGUUGCACCUUGUAUUGUUGUGCUUUUGCUCGUUGGUGCCCUGUGUUGUAGUGUGACGUCAAAGUCAAUUCGUAUGCCGCGGGAAAUGGGCGUUGAGGAGGUAGGCUAGAUGCUUGCGUUUAGCUGUUAUAUCUUGAUGUUCUAGUAGUCGUGGUUGAGACUGAGGUGCC